rnacentral:rRNA from 1 species
GAUGAACGCUAGCGGGAGGCCUAACACAUGCAAGCCGAGCGGUAUUGUUUCUUCGGAAAUGAGAGAGCGGCGUACGGGUGCGGAACACGUGUGCAACCUGCCUUUAUCUGGGGGAUAGCCUUUCGAAAGGAAGAUUAAUACUCCAUAAUAUAUUGAACGGCAUCGUUUAAUAUUGAAAGCUCCGGCGGAUAGAGAUGGGCACGCGCAAGAUUAGCUAGUUGGUGAGGUAACGGCUCACCAAGGCGAUGAUCUUUAGGGGGCCUGAGAGGGUUAUCCCGCACACUGGUACUGAGACACGGACCAGACUACUACGGGAGGCAGCAGUGAGGAAUAUUGGUCAAUGGGUGCAAGCCUGAACCAGCCAUCCCGCGUGAAGGACGACUGCCCUAUGGGUUGUAAACUUCUUUUGUAUAGGGAUAAACCUACCCUCGUGAGGGUAGCUGAAGGUACUAUACGAAUAAGCACCGGCUAACUCCGUGCCAGCCGCCGCGGUAAGAC